GAUGAACGCUAGCGGAGGCUUAACACAUGCAAGUCGAGGGGCAUCACGAGGUAGCAAUACUUUGGUGGCGACCGGCGCACGGGUGAGUAACACGUAUGCAACCUACCCUGUACAGGGGGAUAACCCGGAGAAAUUCGGACUAAUAUCCCAUGCAAUUAUUGGAGGGCAUCCUUUGAUAAUUAAAGCUCAGGCGGUAUAGGAUGGGCAUGCGGAACAUUAGCUAGUUGGUAGGGUAACGGCCUACCAAGGCUACGAUGUUUAGGGGACCUGAGAGGGUUAUCCCCCACACUGGUACUGAGACACGGACCAGACUCCUACGGGAGGCAGCAGUGAGGAAUAUUGGUCAAUGGGCGCAAGCCUGAACCAGCCAUCCCGCGUGCAGGAAGACGGCCCUAUGGGUUGUAAACUGCUUUUCCAGGGAGAGAAACUUACGCACGUGUUGCGUGACUGACGGUACCCUGGGAAUAAGCAUCGGCUAACUCCGUG
rnacentral:rRNA from 1 species